GCAAGUCGAACGGUAACAGGGGACUUCGGUCCUGCUGACGAGUGGCGCACGGGUGAGUAACGCGUACACAAUCUACAUAUAACAGGGGGAUAGCCUCGGGAAACUGAGAAUAAUACACCAUAGUAUUGACUUAUAGAUUAAUGGUCAAUUAAAGUUCCGGCGGUUAUAGAUGAGUGUGCGUCCGAUUAGCUAGUUGGUAAGGUAACGGCUUACCAAGGCGACGAUUUGUAGGGGGCCUGAGAGGGUGAUC
rnacentral:rRNA from 1 species